UACGUAGGGUGCGAGCGUUAAUCGGAAUUACUGGGCGUAAAGUGUGCGCAGGCGGCAGAGCAAGUCGAGUGUGAAAGCCCCGGGCUUAACUUGGGAAUUGCGCUCGAAACUACUUUGCUGGAGUGUGGCAGAGGAAGGUGGAAUUCCACGUGUAGCGGUGAAAUGCGUAGAGAUGUGGAGGAACACCAAUGGCGAAGGCAGCCUUCUGGGCCAACACUGACGCUCAUGCACGAAAGCUAGGGGAGCAAACAGG
rnacentral:rRNA from 1 species